rnacentral:rRNA from 1 species
UACGGGGGGGGUAAGCGUUGUUCGGAAUUACUGGGCGUAAAGGGCUCGUAGGCGGCCAACUAAGUCAGACGUGAAAUCCCUCGGCUUAACCGGGGAACUGCGUCUGAUACUGGAUGGCUUGAGUUUGGGAGAGGGAUGCGGAAUUCCAGGUGUAGCGGUGAAAUGCGUAGAUAUCUGGAGGAGCACCGGUGGCGAAGGCGGCAUCCUGGACCAACACUGACGCUGAGUGAGCGAAAGCCAGGGGAACAAACGGG